rnacentral:rRNA from 1 species
CAGAGUUUGAUCAUGGCUCAGAUUGAACGCUGGCGGCAGGCUUAACACAUGCAAGUCGAGCGGGGAAAGGUAGCUUGCUACCUAACCUAGCGGCGGACGGGUGAGUAAUGCUUAGGAAUCUGCCUAUUAGUGGGGGACAACAUUCCGAAAGGAAUGCUAAUACCGCAUACGUCCUACGGGAGAAAGCAGGGGACCUUCGGGCCUUGCGCUAAUAGAUGAGCCUAAGUCGGAUUAGCUAGUUGGUGGGGUAAAGGCCUACCAAGGCGACGAUCUGUAGCGGGUCUGAGAGGAUGAUCCGCCACACUGGGACUGAGACACGGCCCAGACUCCUACGGGAGGCAGCAGUGGGGAAUAUUGGACAAUGGGGGGAACCCUGAUCCAGCCAUGCCGCGUGUGUGAAGAAGGCCUUUUGGUUGUAAAGCACUUUAAGCGAGGAGGAGGCUACUAGUAUUAAUACUACUGGAUAG